CUCCUGUGGAGAGGAACUGAGACGCAGCCGGCAGCUCCAAGUGAGCUCCCAGCUGAGUCCGCGGCAACUUGUCAGCCAUAUUGAAAGCAGAGCCUCCUUGUUCGGCUGCCUCAGCUGACGUCCUGGGAAAAAAUUCACGCUAAAGCAUACAAACUAAAUACAAGUCAUUAAGCCUAAUGGGACUAGAAGACUGAAGAGUCCGUGCUGCCCGAAUGCUGAGGAGCCAGCUCUGACAGUAAGCACGGUGUGGAUGAAGCGGGUCAGCGCACAUAGUUAUUUCCUGAACUGAACACUCUCACAGGCGGAAGGAAAACGAAAUGCGUAAAGACCAAAUGAUUUACAACUCACUUGGGAAACAAGAAGGUUAAUUUUACUAAAUCAGUCUCUUUGGAAAUCUAUUUCUGCAGUUAAGUCUCCACCCACUUCCAGCUCAUGCCUGCAACUUAAAUCAGAUUACAUCUGGUGGAAGUACAUUCCCUGAAGGUUGCAGUUGAGAAUACGGUUUUUGAUGAUGAGUCAGUGCUACAGAAGAAGUUGUGACAUUUGUUUCCCCGGGCAAACCUAUCUGUACUGUGGGGUUCCUAACUGCGGAUUAAAUUCUUGUCCUUCUGCAGCCGAGUGGAAGACUCUCCAUUUCUUGGGAGACACUGUCGUCAUAUUCAAUGGCUACAGACUUGUAGUUUUUCCGAGAUGCAGAGAGAAGACCAAUGGGGCAGGAUUGAGUAGAGCCAAGAGAAUUGGAGCCAGAGCCUGGAUGAAACCAUACCUGCAUACCUGAACGAGCACCAAAAAUAUCCCUUACUCACUGUAAUAUUGGACAGACAAGUUGAUUCUCUUAUCUGUGCUUCAGUUUGGGUAAAAUGAAGGUAAUAAUAUUAGAGACAUAAGUGACCAAGAGAGAGAGAAUCCCAGGUUUCAUGCAAUUUACGUGAAAUAUCUUAGCCCUGAUAAACAGAUUGGCACUCCCUCCCCCAUGGUUUAGCCCUAUGGAGGAGAGUUUGUCUUGGGCAAAGGGAGAAUUGAACAUCUCAUCACUAAAUGGUGAUAAACUGGUGGCAGUAGCUAGCCAUGUAUGUGAACACUGGGGGUGAAUUGAGUGUGUGCUCUCCCUGCACAGUGCCUUUGCACAUGCUCUUUCACUCACUGCUGCACUGCCCUUCCUGUCCUUCUUGGCUAGUUAUUUCCUAAUCGAUCUCCAGAUCUCGGCCCAAUUGUCAGCUUCCUCAGGAAGCUUUCCCUGACCUUGACCCUGUCAAUCUUGCUACCGUCAGCUCUCCAUACCGUGUAUUCAUGUCUGUUAAUACAACAUCCCCCACUAGACCACCUCCUUCACAUGGUUUUAUUCUAUGACCUCUGCAUAGAUUCCUCCCAAAUUCCACCCCAUACCCUCCCUCUUGCCUGUCCUCUUCAGAAUGUCAAACUGUCCAGCAUUUCCUCUGGAAACACUGUGUCAGAUUGAGCACAGUGCUGGACUGAGGUAUCUUGCUGCCCCAGGCACUGUUUUCCUGUUGGCAAAGGCUUGUUUGUUUGCUUCUACUGAUUAAGUGAACUCUAUUUCUGUUCUGCUAUUAUCUACUGUCCACCUUCAUUAUUUUUCUUUCUAAAUGUUAUGUUGUUUACUUGGCUAUUUUUAUUUAUUUACAUUGCAUUUAUAUUACAUUUAUUUACAUUAAACAGUACAAAAGUCAAAGCUAUACAGGAGCAUACAGUGAAAAGUAAGUCCCUUCCCACUCCAGUUCCCCAGUGACACCGUCCCCCUUUGAGAAGGUAUUCACUGA
rnacentral:lncRNA from 1 species